UGGGGAAUAUUGGACAAUGGGCGAAAGCCUGAUCCAGCCAUGCCGCGUGUGUGAAGAAGGUCUUCGGAUUGUAAAGCACUUUAAGUUGGGAGGAAGGGCAGUAAGCGAAUACCUUGCUGUUUUGACGUUACCGACAGAAUAAGCACCGGCUAACUCUGUGCCAGCAGCCGCGGUAAUACAGAGGGUGCAAGCGUUAAUCGGAAUUACUGGGCGUAAAGCGCGCGUAGGUGGUUCGUUAAGUUGAAUGUGAAAGCCCCGGGCUCAACCUGGGAACGGCAUCCAAAACUGGCGAGCUAUAGUAGGGCAGAGGGUGGUGGAAUUUCCCGUGUAGCGGUGAAAUGCGUAGAUAUAGGAAGGAACACCAGUGGCGAAGGCGACCACCUGGGCUCAUACUGACACUGAGGUGCGAAAGCGUGGGGAGCAAACAGG
rnacentral:rRNA from 1 species